rnacentral:tRNA from 2 species
UGGGGAAUAGUGUAACGGUAGCACUACAGACUCUGACUCUGUCAGUCUAGGUUCAAAUCCUAGUUCCCCAG